AAAGGUUUAAGUUAACUAAACUAAAAGCCUUCAAAGCUUUAAUUGGUACACCACCAACCUUUA
rnacentral:tRNA from 1 species